AGUGAACGCUGGCGGUAGGCCUAACACAUGCAAGUCGAACGGCAGCACAGUAAGAGCUUGCUCUUACGGGUGGCGAGUGGCGGACGGGUGAGGAAUACAUCGGAAUCUACUUUUUCGUGGGGGAUAACGUAGGGAAACUUACGCUAAUACCGCAUACGACCUACGGGUGAAAGCAGGGGAUCUUCGGACCUUGCGCGAUUGAAUGAGCCGAUGUCGGAUUAGCUAGUUGGCGGGGUAAAGGCCCACCAAGGCGACGAUCCGUAGCUGGUCUGCGAGGAUGAUCAGCCACACUGGAACUGAGACACGGUCCAGACUCCUACGGGAGGCAGCAGUGGGGAAUAUUGGACAAUGGGCGCAAGCCUGAUCCAGCCAUACCGCGUGGGUGAAGAAGGCCUUCGGGUUGUAAAGCUCUUUUGUUGGGAAAGAAAAGCAGCAGGUUAAUACCCCGCUGUUCUGACGGUACCCAAAGAAUAAGCACCGGCUAACUUCGUG
rnacentral:rRNA from 1 species